ACAUAUUUACGAAGCAUAGAUAUAUGAAAAACAUUAUGAACACGAGACAUGCUUGGAGGUAAUGUGAGUCUAUAGGUUACAUUUCCUAUCCGGUCAAAAAUCUCAAAUGGACCAACAAAUCUUGGAUUGAGCUUUCCUCUCUUCUCGACUCUUGUAACUCCCUUCCAUGGAGCAAUACGUAACAGUAUAUGAUCCCCAAUACUAAAUUCCAC
rnacentral:lncRNA from 1 species